rnacentral:misc_RNA from 1 species
GGAGGGAAGCAUGAUUAUGACUGGUAAAAUCUUGGAAUCUCACAUCAUUAAUCACAUGUUAAAGUUCAGAUCUAUAUUAAUCUCUUCCUCCCCAUGAAUUGCCAUCGUGUUAGAUAUAAAUUCGUUUUGUCAUCUGAUCUUAUUCAUAUUCGAAGUAUGCCAGCAUAGAUUGAAAUCCUUUGCCAAUAUUUUACACGUUUUAGAUUGUGGUUAUCUGUUACAUGCAUUAAUUGACCACAGGAUACUAAAAUUUGUUCCAAGAUCGCUGGAAGUUUGAACAAUGCCUUUUGCCACGUUAUUUAAAGAUCUUAAUAGAAUGAAAAUAAUUUGGAA